rnacentral:rRNA from 1 species
UGAAAGCUUGCUGGAUAUAUAGCUUAGUGGCGGACGGGUGAGUAACACGUGAGCAACCUGCCUUUCAGAGUGGAAUAACGUUUGGAAACGAACGCUAAUACCGCAUAAUGUCAGAGGACGGCAUCGUUCUUUGACCAAAGAUUUAUCGCUGAAAGAUGGGCUCGCGGCCGAUUAGGUAGUUGGUGAGAUAAUAGCCCACCAAGCCGACGAUCGGUAGCCGGACUGAGAGGUUGAACGGCCACAUUGGGACUGAGACACGGCCCAGACUCCUACGGGAGGCAGCAGUGGGGGAUAUUGCACAAUGGGGGAAACCCUGAUGCAGCGACGCCGCGUGAGGGAAGACGGCCUUCGGGUUGUAAACCUCUGUCUUCGGGGACGAAUAAAUGACGGUACCCGAGGAGGAAGCCACGGCUAACUACGUGCCAGCAGCCGCGGUAAUACGUAGGUGGCAAGCGUUGUCCGGAAUUACUGGGUGUAAAGGGAGCGUAGGCGGGGAGGCAAGUUGAAUGUCUAAACUAUCGGCUCAACUGAUAGUCGCGUUCAAAACUGCCACUCUUGAGUGCAGUAGAGGUAGGCGGAAUUCCUAGUGUAGCGGUGAAAUGCGUAGAUAUUAGGAGGAACACCAGUGGCGAAGGCGGCCUACUGGGCUGUAACUGACGCUGAGGCUCGAAAGCGUGGGUAGCAAACAGGAUUAGAUACCCUGGUAGUCCACGCCGUAAACGAUGAUUACUAGGUGUGGGGGGACUGACCCCUUCCGUGCCGGAGUUAACACAAUAAGUAAU